UACCUCGCUGUUAGAAAUAGAAGGACGAGGGCUUUUGACGGAGGUGCUCGGAGCGGAAUCGCAAAGAGUUUUCAGCGGCGGCGUUUGAAGCUCAGUCGCGAGAAGUCCUCGACGAUGACGCUCGAAAUUGAGCCACAAAGAGUUCUGGAUGGCAAUACUGGGAGUGGAACCGCGGAGAAUCGCGGGAGGAAUCAGCUUUCCGUUCCUGAAACAGGAAUUAAGUAAUCGUCUCAAUCGAGCAUUGGGCUUGAUGCGAAAGAAAAAUUAGACCUUUCAACCAUUCUAGAAUUCGAACCAGGAAAAAUCAUAGAAAUCAGAGGAAUAUUGAGCAAUCGAAGAAGAACUUCACGCAUGAAACUCACCUUCACAUCACGUCUGAUUCGGACUUGAUCGCAAAAGACGAGGGUUUCCAGCGGCGAUGCUUGAAGCCAAAUCGCGGAGGUCUUCGACGAUGGCGCUCCGAGUUGAAUCGCGAGGAACUUCAGGAAAAAGGAAGGUAUGCAAGGUGGGAAGAGGAGUGAUAGCGAAUCAGGAGAAAACCCAUGUGAAGCGCGCCGCCGCGUAUUGAGCGAGAAAAAAAAAAUGAAAUGAGAGGGAACGGUAACUCUAGGGCAACUUUUGAAUGUUAAAAAUAGGGUUAAGUAUCAAUUUAGC
rnacentral:lncRNA from 1 species